rnacentral:rRNA from 1 species
GACGAACGCUGGCGGCGUGCUUAACACAUGCAAGUCGAACGGAAAGGCCCUGCUUUUGUGGGGUGCUCGAGUGGCGAACGGGUGAGUAACACGUGAGUAACCUGCCCUUGACUUUGGGAUAACUUCAGGAAACUGGGGCUAAUACCGGAUAGGAGCUCCUGCUGCAUGGUGUGGGUUGGAAAGUUUCGGCGGUUGGGGAUGGACUCGCGGCUUAUCAGCUUGUUUGUGGGGUAGUGGCUUACCAAGGCUUUGACGGGUAGCCGGCCUGAGAGGGUGACCGGCAACAGUGGGACUGAGAUACGGCCCAGACUCCUACGGGACGCAGCAGUGGGGAAUAUUGCACAAUGGGCGGAAGCCUGAUGCAGCAACGCCGCGUGCGGGAUGACGGCCUUCGGGUUGUAAACCGCUUUCGCCUGUGACGAAGCGUGAGUGACGGUAAUGGGUAAAGAAGCACCGGCUAACUACGUG